CCAAACCAGCAUGGUGUGGAGUGGACCUCCCAGGCACUGUCUGGGUACAGCACAGGGCCCCAGCGUCACAAAAAGAGCAAAGGCUUGGUGCUCAGGGUUCUGUGCCGAGUCCCCCAGUUCUGCUACGGUCCUACCACGUGACCCUAUCCCAAAUAUUUACACUCUUUCAACCUCAUUUCUUCAUCUGGAAAAUGAUAAGGGAUGAAUUGCCUUAUCUCACAGGCUAAAAGGAUUAAAGGACACAGUAGUACCAGCACACAGUAGGUAUCAGCAAGUGUCCACCGAAUCUGGUGGUUCUGGCAAUCAGCUGGGGGGAAGGGAGGGAGGCAGCUCUUUUUUCUCUGGUUUCUUCCUGCAUCAGGAUUAUUCUCAAGGUUCUGAGAGGAAGGGAUCACUCAACACCCUUCGGGCUUAAACACCUACUCCUCAUAACCACCCUGAAGGUAACAAUUUCUCCCAUUUGACAGAUGAGGUGGCCCAGCAAGGUUCAGACAGCAAAUACGUCACAGGCAAGUCACUUGAGCCCUCUGGGCCAGCUUCCUCAUUCCCAAACUGGGGGUGCAGAGAGCUGCUGUGAAGACUCAGGCGAGCUAAUGAACUUGGGAAGAGGGAGUGGACUCAGUAUAUGAAAUGAGGCUGUGCCCAGUCUACUUUGGUUCCUGAGCCCCUAAGGAGAGGCUGAUGGGGAAAGUGAAAGCCUCUGGGUCAGGCUCCAGUUUCCUCUGGCUACAGGGAUCCAAGGCCCCGGGCAUGCAGGAGACAGGUCCUUCUUGACCGGAAGCAGUCUGGUCCUGUUUGCUCCCAGAAAAGUAGGUUACAAUUGCCUAUAGAAGGCCCUGUGCAGGCUCUUUCCACCCCAAAUCUCACCCCUCACAACAACCCUACUGCUAGGCAUUAUUCCUUCCCUCCCCCAGCCUCCUCCGCCCCCCAACACAGAGGGAAGCUAAGGUUCAGUGAAUGAGUGACAGCCAAAGUCACACCGCAAAUAAACCAAGUCUAACUUUACUCAAGAUCUUUUUCUCCGGCCCGUGCUAGUAAGGCUGGGGCAGAGGGACCUCCAAGCUUUCUGGACAAGCGACCUGUGUGUCCCUGACUGUCCCCACCUCAGGCAGGGAUCUAACUACCUCCGGUUCCCGACCAUUUCCAGGCUGCGGUCCCAGUGGGGAUGCUAUAACUGGCCCAGUCAGCAGAGCUGCAACCAGCGCUCUAGAAGCCAGAGCCAAUCUUCAGAGGCCUGCCCCCAGGCCUCAAGAGCUGGAAUCGGCCUGUCACUAAGCCACCCCCACAGGAAACCCUCCCUCCCUCCCCCGUCCUGCCGGGAGCAUCAGGGCCUCAGCUUGAAGCUGAGCGGUCACCACGCACCGCUUCCCUCGCCCCCACCCAAGGCAACCAGUCCGGAGAGAACCAAAGAAAGGACAGCUGUCCCUCCUAGACCCAGCAGCCAGCCCCUGGGCCUCUGGCGGACCGGGGCUUGGGUUCUCCAUCGGGAAGAGAUUACGGUGCCCCAACCUGGCGUCCGUCACCCUGUCCGGCUGCGGCCACGUCACCGACGAUUGCCUGGCUCGCCUGCUGCGCUGCU